AUAUCAAUAAGCGGAGGAAAAGAAACUAACCAGGAUUCCCCUAGUAACGGCGAGUGAACCGGGAAGAGCUCAAAUUUAAAAUCUGGCGUCCUCCGGGCGUCCGAGUUGUAAUCUAUAGAAGUGUUUUCCGUGGUGGACCGUGUCCAAGUUCCUUGGAAAAGGAUAUCAGAGAGGGUGACAAUCCCGUCCUUGACACGACAACCAUUGCUCUGUGAUACACUUUCUACGAGUCGAGUUGUUUGGGAAUGCAGCUCAAAAUGGGUGGUAAAUUCCAUCUAAAGCUAAAUAUUGGUGAGAGACCGAUAGCGAACAAGUACCGUGAGGGAAAGAUGAAAAGCACUUUGGAAAGAGAGUUAAACAGUAU
rnacentral:rRNA from 1 species